rnacentral:rRNA from 1 species
UACGUAGGGUGCAAGCGUUAAUCGGAAUUACUGGGCGUAAAGCGUGCGCAGCGGUUUGGUUAAGUCUGUCGUGAAAUCCCCGGGCUCAACCUGGGAAUUGCGAUGGAGACUGCAAGGCUAGAAUCUGGCAGAGGGGGGUAGAAUUCCACGUGUAGCAGUGAAAUGCGUAGAGAUCGGGAGGAACAUCCGUGGCGAAGGCGGCUCUCUGGACCAGCACUGACGUUGAGGCACGAAAGCGUGGGGAGCAAACAGG